UGGGGGAUAUUGCACAAUGGGCGAAAGCCUGAUGCAGCGACGCCGCGUGGGGGAUGAAGGCCUACGGGUUGUAAACUUCUUCUGCUCUGAACAAGGCAUGCCUUUGGGGUGUGUUGAGUGUAGGGGUUGAUUAGCGCCGGCUAACUACGUGCCAGCAGCCGCGGUAAUACGUAGGGCGCGAGCGUUGUCCGGAAGUAUUGGGCGUAAAGGGCUUGUAGGUGGCUGGUUGCGUCUGUCGUGAAAGCUCAUGGCUUAACUGUGUGCCUGCUGUCGAUACGGGCUGACUAGAGGAGGGUAUGGGAGAAUGGAAUUCCCGGUGUAGCGGUGGAAUGCGCAUAUAUCGGGAGGGACACCAGUGGCGAAGGCGGUUCUCUGGACCUUUCCUGACGCUGAGAAGCGAAAGCGUGGGUAGCAAACAGG
rnacentral:rRNA from 1 species